GAGCUGCGGGAGCGGCCGCCGGCCUCCGGCCUCCGGCCUCGCGCCUCAGGAGCCACCUAGGCCCGGGGAACCAGCUUGCGUUGAAGUAUUUCAAUCCCUUACCUGGAAUCCUUGGUUCUUUGAAGAUAUUUUCGUGCGCAGAUAGUUGUUCUAAUUGAUGUUUCUCAGGAGAGGAAAAUCACUAGAAAUUCCUACGCCGUCAUUUUGCUGACGUCACUCCUAUAGUACAUCUUGAAGGUUUCCCAGCCAGCGGGUUAUUGUGAAAAGCUGUGCUAGCGUUUGCAGGCCUCUUGCACUCAAGAAUGACAACAGAGGCAGACUUUUGGAUCCUGAAUGACAGGAUGUAGGAAAACAAUGGAAUGACCUUCUUUUCUGUAAAAUGCUGGUGAUAGAUCAGUAGGAAGUUAGUGAGUGUGGGAAAACGGAAUGGAAUUGAGUACUACUCAUUUGUUUGUCGUCUUU